UACGGAGGGGGCUAGCGUUGUUCGGAAUUACUGGGCGUAAAGCGCACGUAGGCGGCUUUGUAAGUUAGAGGUGAAAGCCCGGAGCUCAACUCCGGAAUUGCCUUUAAGACUGCAUCGCUAGAACGUUGGAGAGGUAAGUGGAAUUCCGAGUGUAGAGGUGAAAUUCGUAGAUAUUCGGAAGAACACCAGUGGCGAAGGCGACUUACUGGACAACUGUUGACGCUGAGGUGCGAAAGCGUGGGGAGCAAACAGGAUUAGAUACCCUAGUAGUCC
rnacentral:rRNA from 1 species